rnacentral:rRNA from 1 species
UACGUAGGGGGCGAGCGUUGUCCGGAGUUACUGGGCGUAAAGCGCUUGUAGGCGGUCCACCAAGUUUGGGGUGACAGUUGCCGACUUAAUCGGCAAAGUGCCUCAAAGACUGUCGGACUUGAGGGCCACAGAGGGACAUGGAACUCCAGGUGUAGUGGUGAAAUGCGUAGAUAUCUGGAAGAACACCAAAGGCGAAGGCAGUGUCCUGGGAGGUCGCUGACGCUGAGAGGCGAAAGCCAGGGGAGCGAACGGG